GGCGGCCUCCGGCAGCAGCGGGGCGGGAAGGCGCCAAGGCCGCAGGCACGCUGCCGCUCCCCUCCGGCCCUGGGCGGAAGAGCUGGAGAAGCGGAGGAGGAAGGGAGGAAGGCAGCACCCGCGGCUCCCACAGUCCCGGCACACCCGCACCCCCAGCUCCCCGCGGGGGCCGGGCCGUUGAGCUGGGCCGGGGCGGUUAAAACCAUGGCGCUGAAGCAGGUUUCAAGCAACAGAUGCUUUGAGGGUUUCCAGAAGGUAUUUGAACAUGACAGUGCAGAGCUAAAAUGCAAAAUGAAAUUUGGAAUCUACUUGCCUCCAAAAGCAGAAACUGGAAAGUGUCCUGUGCUGUAUUGGCUCUCAGGGUUAACUUGCACAGAACAGAAUUUUAUAACGAAAGCUGGUUUUCACCAAGCUGCAGCUGAACAUGGCCUUAUUGUAGUUGCGCCAGACACAAGCCCACGUGGCUGCAAUAUCGAAGGGGAAGAUGAAAGCUGGGAUUUUGGCACCGGUGCUGGUUUUUAUGUGGAUGCCACUGAAGAUCCUUGGAAAACAAACUAUAGGAUGUAUUCCUACAUAAAGGAUGAGCUGCCUAAACUAAUAAAUGCCAAUUUUCCAACUGACCCUGAACGGAUGUCUAUUUUUGGGCAUUCCAUGGGAGGACAUGGAGCUCUUAUUCUUGCUCUAAAGAAUCCUGGAAAAUACAAAUCUGUAUCAGCAUUUGCUCCUAUCUGCAACCCUAUGCAGUGUCAGUGGGGGAAGAAAGCCCUCGGUGGAUAUCUGGGAUCAGAUGUGAGCAAAUGGGAGGCAUACGAUGCUACACAGCUUGUGAAGUCCUAUCCAGACUCUCGCCUGGAUAUCUUGAUUGAUCAAGGCAAAGAUGACCAGUUCCUCUCAGCGGGCCAGUUACUGCCUGAUAACUUCAUCGCUGCCUGCACAGAGCAGAAAAUCCCAGUCGUCUUUCGACUGCAGCAGGGUUAUGAUCACAGCUAUUUUUUCAUUGCUACGUUUAUUAAUGACCACAUCAAACACCAUGCAAAAUACCUCAACGCUUGACCCAUUUGGAGGUGACAGUCGUCUGUCCAAUAUGAAUCAAGGGAUAGAGGUGAACUGAAAAAUCAUUCGCUGAGGUAGCAUCUGUAAAAUGGAGCUCUUCUGGUUGUACCGCUAAGAAAAAUAAAGGUCCCACUUAAUUUGAUGUGCGUGCUUUAGAGUAAGUAUUUUGAACAUCCCUGCGUGCUUCAGAAACACUCCCAACACCGUGAGGGUGCAUGCAGCAUUCUAGGUCAAAGUGAAAAUUAGCAGAUGAGUUUGUUUCAGACGGUGAAGGUCGGUAUGUCCUUGGGACCUCAGGAUGGUUCUUAGUGCAGACUGUGAAUAGCAACAGCGUGCCUCUUCAGCUAAUUAAAUACCGGGGUUCGUUUCGUCACCGGAUGCUGAAGGAAGUGGUUGGUGGCACAACCAAUCAAGCUACUUAAUUAAUCUGAGGUGGUUGUGGUGUUUUUCCUUGGCCUGCCAGAAUACAUUCCAAGGACAAAGCGUGGUGGAGAACACAGACGUGCGGAGCGGUUUGCUGUCCUGUGCGCUAUUAACAUCAAACGAAUAAUCUGGAGUAAACCACGUGAAGGAAGCAGGCGCUAGUAAAGGAGGUGGGUUUUUUCUCUCCACUUGCCUUUGAUCGUUGCUGAGUGUGAAAGGUUUAUGCUGUGUUUCUGGGUUUCUCGGACUUAACAGGACUGAGGGGGAACUGAUAAAUAGAUCGGGAAAAAAAGCAAUCCCUGUCGAUCGGUGAUCUGACGUCGCGUUGUUGAAAACUCGCGCGCCAGUUCUACAGAAGCUGGCAGAAUUUAGGCCUGUCAGUUGUAGAUCUCCAAGUUCCCAUUGGUGUAAUUCUGCCAGCUACCUUGUGUGGGGCAAAACCACAGGUUGUCCCAGGGAGCUGCUUAUCUUCUGUUCAAGCCAUCGCUUGUAAAAUCUGCUUUCCCUUGGGUCAGCUGAACCUGCAUCGUUGCUCAGACCUUGACUCGCUCUUGCCAGAGGAAAUAGGAGGGUAGCUGUAGGAUUGUUUGCUUUCCUAAGCAAUGCUGAACACUCUCCUGUUUCUCCGGCCCCUCCGAAAUUCCUGGCUGCAGGGAGAUCGAUGCUGGGAACUUAGGUCUCUGUUGCUGGUGACAGGCUUAAAUUCUGUACUGACUGUUACCAAUCUUGCACCUACCGAUUUCUGAAGCAAGCUUAGGAGGCUGGGAAGAUACGACUUGCAAGAGUUCUCUGAAAUGCUGACAGCACUUUUUCCACACUGGAUUUCCAACAGACCCCAACUCUUCCUUUCUUAUAAAGCGGGGCACUGACAUAAAAAUUUUAAGCCACAAUUGUUAAACAUUUUGAUUUUCCCGCUCCCACAACAGUAAAAUCGGCUCAAAAGCUUGUUUUAAUGUGUGGCAGCUUCUAACUGUUCCUCUCCUACUUCCUCAGCAGCCGGGGGAAAAUUAAUUAGUGGGCUGUAGGCAGCACUGGGCUGGAGCAGAAGCGUGCUGUGCUGGUACUGCAGCCUUGUGCCCAGUACUACAAACAGCGUAGCAGUGGAGUCGGGGUGUUCCGCUUGCCGCAGGUACUUCUAAUGCUAAACAUUUCCAUUUGUUAUCUUGUCAAAGCUAGGAAUGGUUUUUUUUUUUUUUGCCCAGUGCAUUCUGAAAAUUGUAGGUAAGGGCAAGGGGGGCAUGCUGUUUUUUUUCAUUCCCUGACGGGAUUCUAUGCACCUACGUGUUAUAUUAGAGGAGAGGAGAAAGCAGGUUUAACCCUGUAAUUUGCCAUUUUAAAGCUGCUGGGUUAAUGGUAGAAAGUGGGGGGGAAACACCCUCUUUCCUACAUGAUAAAUUUACAUGGCAAACUUCUGAGUUUCUCAUUAUACUGUGGGUGGUUGUGGGGAGCUUUAUUGCCCGUUCUCUUUAAUUUACAGUCUAGCAGGAGAUCAGUUAUAUCAGCUUCCCCAAACAACUGCCCAGGUACAAUUUGGGAGCUGAAAAUACCUGUCCCGUCGUCCGCUUGGCGCUCCUGAGAACUGACUGUCCUCCCACCCUGGUUGCUUUCUUGAUAAAGCCGAGUAUUUACAUCCACCGCUGCCUUCCUCCUUGAGAGGGACUUCAGCUGCCUCGGCUUGUGCGCGGCAGCAGAUUCGGGUUUGUGGCUGUAGCCCAGAACACCAGAACAAAUAGUGUGGAUUCCUUCUGCACACACAGACCCAAGAAACAAGUUCAAACGGGCAAUUUUCGAGGAGUUUGACACGAGUAGGUCUGCAAGAGACAGACGACACACAUUUCUCCACGUGGAAGAUGCUGCGACGUUCCGGCCUUUUGCUGAGUUUCUACUUCCCUUGAGUUUGUGGAUUCUGACUGACGUUGACCAAAGGGCUGCGACAACUGCCUCCCACUCCUGCCGGCUCCCGGCUCCUCUCUGACAGAGCUGCUUGCCCAGCCAGCACAAAGGAACAUCCCCCGCCUUGCAGCCAUUCCAGUUCCUCACCCGGAUUUCCAUUCCAAACCUGCCCUACAAAUUGGUCAUUUAAGACACCGAGUUCCACAGUUCGCUCUUGUUUGUUCUUCUGACUGAGAUACUGACCCGAAAGCUGUCAGAGACAGCUCUCCCCAACUAUUAUUCCUCUGGAAGGUCUUUUUCCAGAAAAAUACAUAAAUAUAUCUUAGGAUGCAAUCUCCUAAAUCGACACCUGAUUAGCACCAGAGUAGCUACAAAGGAAGGUAGAGAGAGUGAUAUCAAAUAAAAGGGAAAACAAAACCAACAUAACAUUUCUAGCUCAAAUGUAUGAUUUUUGUUAAAAAUAUUUUGCCAAUCUAAUGGUUUGGGACCGCAGUCCACACUACAAAAAUCUACAAUACUCUGAUUCUGAUCAUUCUCAAAAAAACUCUAUUCAUUUCGCUUGCUGAGAAUGCAAAUCAGACCUCAGAAGUGAAAUGUUAUUCCCUCCACUCUCUUCUACUUCUUUCCGGUGCCCUUGCACAGCAGACUCGUCUCACAGCUUUGGUGGCCCACAACAUGCCAAUUUUUCAUUAGUUUUCCAUACCAGACAAAAAGGCAUUAAGUAAUAAUGCCUGCUGAAUCCAAUAUCUGAAAAUUGAAGUGAUUAGUGUUGCAAGGCUGAAGGGCAGGGAUUGAGUCCAAAAACCCAGCCCCAAAACAACUGACCUUGCUAGACGUUUAUGUUUGAGAAUAUUCUCAAUUUUUCUAUUGAGGCCAAAUUUGCUGAAAAAGUCACAGUUCAGGUCGUUUCCUUUAGAAGAAAUUAAAUUCUAAACUUACCAUUUUCACAGCACUUUCUAUCACUCGGAUAACUAUUUUGUCAUGCAUUCUUGAUCGGAACUUUGCAACUGUUUAUCAGCUACAUUUUCACUGACAGCAUAAAGGAGGGCAUGCCCCAUUCCAUAUAAAACCUCAUCCAAUAUAAUUUGUCUCCUUUUAGAGACAAUGCAUUUUCUUUUAAAUACAGUAUAGCAAUCCAGCUUGUAUAGGGCAACCUCUCCCCCCCUGCUGCAUUUACAAGAUGCAUACAAGGAAAUCUAUUUAGGGAGGUCUAUAACAAGGACUGUGUAACUGUGUUCCAGGAAUAAGAAAAACCGACAAGGCGGCCUAAGCCAUCUCCUAAGAAUUACAAAUUUCAUGUGUCACGAAUCAAUUCUCUUACCCAAGCCCUAAUCACUAUCUUCAAAGCUUUGUAAAUGGCUUUCGUUGACCCUGCCUCACGCACUUUCCAAACCACAGCUUUGGAGUCAUAUAUGGCCUUCUUCACUGAAUAAGAAAGAUCCAAUCCUGCCAAGGAUGGAAUCCAGAGCACGGGGACCAUCCGCUCCGCUUUCUGCCCGGUAACCAGCAGUUACCUUGGGCCAAGAUCCCAGGUGUCUCAGUCCUGUCCUGCAGCUCGGCCCCUUCUCCAUCCUCUGCCUCCCUCUAACCAGCCCCAGCUGCGAUCGGGAAGCCACUGCUGGGACAGCUGUGAAGCCCCGAGCCAUGAAGAUUUCAAAACUCUUCUUACAUUCUGGCAUUUUGAGACAAUAUGCCUGACCAACCAAGAGAACAACUCGCCCACGACUCUGAGGAAACUCAACUUCAGCCACUUCUCCCCACUUCUGGUAAGAUUUCUGUCCCUUUUACAUUAGCAUUAAGCCCAGAACACUUCAAUACAGUAGGCUGAAUCACCUCUCUAAAAAUACCCCUGUCGAAACCAUCACUGAACAAAACCCAGAAAGACAGACAGAAGAACGGGCUACUAAAUUCUCAAGACCAGUCUAAAAAUCUUUACAAACGAUUGUGGAGGGAAGGGCUGCCACUCCACCCACAGCAGCACAAACCUCGCACUUCUUUAUCUACUACAAAACUGAAGAUCUAAAUUUUGUACGCAUCUUGUCUCCCAAAGGACACAGAGGAACUUAAUUACUAGUUGCAAGCAACCACUGUCUACAGUCACAUAGCCAUUUUGAGUGGAUAAAGAGGUUUUCAAACUCAUCACGAAGCAGAGGAAUAAGCUCCUUUUGACGAGGGAAGAAAAAAAAAAAAAAAAAAAACAAAAAAAAAGAGGCACAAAAAGGAGGCAGGAGCCAGGAGGCUGAGUCACAAAGCAACACAAAAAGACAGUACAACAGGUGCACCCACAGACACACACGCGUGCAUGUGCUUGCCAGAGCAAGCUUCUAAUCCUGGAGCAAAACAUCUGAGUUAGAAGUGUAGAAGGAAACCAGGGACACACGAGGACACUAAUCCCACAAGGAUCCGUGACACACGACACACACUUCUCUGUUUUCUUUGACAUCGGGUGACUUCAAAGUCAAGACAAGUGUUUGAGUCGGUUUAUGCUAGGGCAAGCAGCUUGGCAAUUCAGAUUCAGUAAGUAUUUCUCAAAAAAAAAAAAGUAACUGUUGCCAUUAUAUCAUACGGGCAUGUAGUGAAAUGGCCACGGCACGACAAGAGCAGGGCCUAACUGUAUUUGUUAGCAAAAACACAGAGCAAUGGAAUUCUACAAUUUGGCAAGAGCCUUUCCCUUUCUCCCUUGUAUUUGUAGAAUAUGAGAUUUCAGAUCUACAGGGAAAAAAAUAAAAUGUUCAUAGAACAAUGAAAUACCGGAAUGUGUAGUUUCUCCAAGGACAAAUUGAAAAAGUAAGGCCAUGUAAUGCUCAUCGUUUAAUGUCUGGAGCCAACUACUAUGAAAGGGAAAGUCACAAAAAGAAACAUCAGGGCCUUACGUUUAAGCAAACUUCUGUCAAACAUACAAAACCUUGAAAUUUUGUUAGGUCAAGGCCAAGUUUUCUUCAUGAUGAGUUGAAAAAACUACAGCAAAUAUUUAUUUUUUCAUAUAUCUAAGACAAUUUGAAAUUAUGCAAAAUAUAUUUUCCUUAUUUACUAUUACUGUUGAUGUCUGUAUGUGUCCGAAUGCCCUGAAAAUACCAUUUGAAGUACAAAAGAAAAGAGUAGUAGAUAAAAAAAGCACAGUAAUUCGGACUACAGGUAUACUUAAUAAUUUUUGCUUUUAAUUUCCAAUGGAAAGAUUAGUAUGUUUUGUAAAGUAUACACUUAUGACCAGAUUUGCCAAAGCAAAAAAAAAAAAACAAACAAAAAAAAAAAAAACAAAAAAAAAAAAACCAAA